GAUGUUCACACUCAGGCCUGUGACCACAGAAAAAGUAGCCAGCCCACCAUCCCUAGAUGAUUUUGCAGUCUUUGCACACCAGUGUGGCCAUAGGCUUGUUUUCUCCUGGACUGAGCCUGCAGAUCCUAUGAGCAAGCAUAUGUCCUGUGCUCCACUAGUCCUAGCUGGAUCGUGGACAUAUUACCAUCAUUACAAAUAUCAAUAGUUUGUGAUUACUUCAAACAAUCUGAAGUUGAAGGACCCCAGAUAUCCUUCAAAACAGGAAUCUGCAGGCAGAUGCUGAAACCAUGAAUACAGAGGGACAACUAUGUAAGCUCGUUAACGCUGACAUAGUUUUAUGAAUGCAAACAGCCAAGGAGAGCAGAUGUUGAGUGGUUGCCAGAGUGAAAUGAGGAAGCCCUGCUGCCAGCUUCCCACCAAAAAGCAGGCUCCGGCCCUGAACGCAGGAGAGUUGCUAAAGAAGUUGCUCACAGAGGCGGGAGAGAGCAGGCUACUGGUUUCCUUCAAAAUGGAAUAGGAAACAGAAAACGUGCAUCAUUUCUUCGCACUUGAAUCAGCAACAUGACACAGGACUUUGGCAUCAGACUACUAUCACACCAAAAAAAGAGGCUUCACUUGGAGUGCUGCCACUGGAUGGGGCCUGACUUGUUUAUCCGGAAAGAAGUGACUUCCCUGGGAAGAAGGUUGCAUUUGUGAAAGCUUGUGCAGCAUUUCAAGGCUGCAUUCAGGGGCUCUGACCUCCAGUGUCAGCCUUCCAAGGAGAGAAUGGUAGUGUAAUCAUGACUGGAGAGCAACUGUUCCAGAUAAGAAUAUUUUGGCAGAUUUUAAAAGCAACUAUUACUGGUGUUGAUUGACUUAAAAAUAUUUUAAAAAUAUAACAUGUUAUAAACCUCUUCAAUAUCAAGAGGCAG
rnacentral:lncRNA from 1 species